rnacentral:tRNA from 1 species
GGUAUGGUGGUGCAGAGGAUAGCACUGUCAUCUCACAGCAAGAAGGUCCUGGGUUCGAAUCCCAGCCAGGGCC